GAGACUGGGAUAACACCUGGAAACAGAUGCUAAUACCGGAUAACAACACUAGACGCAUGUCUAGAGUUUAAAAGAUGGUUCUGCUAUCACUCUUGGAUGGACCUGCGGUGCAUUAGCUAGUUGGUAAGGUAACGGCUUACCAAGGCAAUGAUGCAUAGCCGAGUUGAGAGACUGAUCGGCCACAUUGGGACUGAGACACGGCCCAAACUCCUACGGGAGGCAGCAGUAGGGAAUCUUCCACAAUGGACGCAAGUCUGAUGGAGCAACGCCGCGUGAGUGAAGAAGGGUUUCGGCUCGUAAAGCUCUGUUGGUAGUGAAGAAAGAUAGAGGUAGUAACUGGACUUUAUUUGACGGUAAUUACCUAGAAAGUCACGGCUAACUACGUGCCAGCAGCCGCGGUAAUACGUAGGUGGCAAGCGUUGUCCGGAUUUAUUGGGCGUAAAGCGAGUGCAGGCGGUUCAAUAAGUCUGAUGUGAAAGCCUUCGGCUCAACCGGAGAAUUGCAUCAGAAACUGUUGAACUUGAGUGCAGAAGAGGAGAGUGGAACUCCAUGUGUAGCGGUGGAAUGCGUAGAUAUAUGGAAGAACACCAGUGGCGAAGGCGGCUCUCUGGUCUGCAACUGACGCUGAGGCUCGAAAGCAUGGGUAGCGAACAGGAUUAGAUACCCUGGUAGUCCAUGCCGUAAACGAUGAGUGCUAAGUGUUGGGAGGUUUCCGCCUCUCAGUGCUGCAG
rnacentral:rRNA from 1 species